rnacentral:rRNA from 1 species
UGGUGCGAAUUCUCUUUGACUAGGGAUCCAAAGAGGGUGCUAGACCCUUACGCAUUGUUGACUUUUCGUACGCGUUCGUUUCUUGGAGUAGGGUUGUUUUGGAUCGCAGCCCAAAGUAGGUGGUAUACUUCAUCUAAAGCUAAAUACCACUACGAAUCCGAUAGCAAACAAGUACCGUGAGGGAAAGUUGCAAAGUACUUUGAAGAGAGAGUUCAAGAGGACGUGAAACCGGUAGGGUGGAAGCAGAUAAAGUUGACGAACGUGUGUCGUAUUCASAACUACAAUUUGUGGUUUGUUUUUACGAUCGAUGUGGGCUGGCGUCUUUGGUUAACUUAGUGUCUGGCGGCAAUGGUGACCCUGCGGAGGGAUAAUCGGUUGUCGUGCGAUGCUUGGUAUGGCUAGAGGUUCGCUGGUCUUAUAGUCAUCGCUUUAUCUGACCCGUCUUGAAACACGGACCAAGGAGUGUAGCGCUUACGCGAGUCUUAGAGUGUGUCAAAACUUUGAGGCGUAACGAAAGUAAAUGUGGAUUUAUUCACUGACUUGGGAUGCGUUGUCUUUUUUGGAUAGCGUUGGACCAUGGUUUUAUCGUAAUCGCUUGCGAUGCG